UCCGGUUUAACACCGGCAGUCUCCCUAGAGUCCCCAACUUAAUGGUGGUAACUAAGGACAGGGGUUGCGCUCGUUGCCGGACUUAACCGAACAUUUCACAACACGAGCUGACGACAGCCAUGCAGCACCUGUCUCCACGUGACCGAAGCCACUUACACAUCUCUGCAUAAUUCGUGGGAUGUCAAGACCAGGUAAGGUUCUGCGCGUUGCUUCGAAUUAAACCACAUACUCCACCGCUUGUGCGGGCCCCCGUCAAUUCCUUUGAGUUUUAGCCUUGCGACCGUACUCCCCAGGCGGGAUACUUAAUGCGUGUGCUUUGGUACUCAGAGGGUUAAUGCUCCGAACACCUAGUAUCCAUCGUUUACGGCGCGGACUAC
rnacentral:misc_RNA from 1 species